AAGACUAUAGACCUGCGGAGUACCUGCGGAAGGAUCAUUAUAGAGUUUUCUAAACUCCCAACCCAUGUGAACUUACCUUUUGUUGCCUCGGCAGAAGUUAUAGGUCUUCUUAUAGCUGCUGCCGGUGGACCAUUAAACUCUUGUUAUUUUAUGUAAUCUGAGCGUCUUAUUUUAAUAAGUCAAAACUUUUAGCAAUGGAUCUCU
rnacentral:misc_RNA from 1 species